rnacentral:rRNA from 1 species
UACAGAGGGGGCAAGCGUUGUUCGGAAUUACUGGGCGUAAAGGGCGCGUAGGCGGCCGCCUAAGUCAGACGUGAAAUCCCUCGGCUCAACCGGGGAACUGCGUCUGAUACUGGGUGGCUUGAAUUCGGGAGAGGGAUGCGGAAUUCCAGGUGUAGCGGUGAAAUGCGUAGAUAUCUGGAGGAACACCGGUGGCGAGGGCGGCAUCCUGGACCGGCAUUGACGCUGAGGAGCGAAAGCCAGGGGAGCAAACGGG